rnacentral:rRNA from 1 species
CCUACGGGAGGCAGCAGUGAGGAAUAUUGGUCAAUGGACGCAAGUCUGAACCAGCCAUGCCGCGUGCAGGAAGACGGCUCUAUGAGUUGUAAACUGCUUUUGUACGAGGGUAAACGCAGAUACGCGUAUCUGUCUGAAAGUAUCGGACGAAUAAGGAUCGGCUAACUCCGUGCCAGCAGCCGCGGUAAUACGGAGGAUUCAAGCGUUAUCCGGAUUUAUUGGGUUUAAAGGGUGCGUAGGCGGUCGGAUAAGUUAGAGGUGAAAUCCCGAGGCUCAACUUCGGAAUUGCCUCUGAUACUGUUCGGCUAGAGUGUAGUUGCGGUAGGCGGAAUGUAUGGUGUAGCGGUGAAAUGCUUAGAGAUCAUACAGAACACCGAUUGCGAAGGCAGCUUACCAAGCUACUUCUGACGUUGAGGCACGAAGGCGUGGGGAGCGAACAGGAUUAGAUACCCGGGUAGUC